rnacentral:lncRNA from 1 species
CGAUAUGUAUUCAAACAAAGCUAUCAAUCUUAUCUUAAACUAAUAUCAGGAUAAAUACAAUAAUAGAAAAUGUUAUCAAGACUUUUAAUUUCAAUAUUAUAAGAUGUAAUCAAUCGUUUUUUUUUUGUUUUUACAUAUGAUGUAAUCAUUAUCGAUCGACAUAAAAGAGUUGUUUGCAAGAUAAGAUAUUUGUAAUAAGGUCCAACCAAACUCCUAACAAAGCCAAACCGUAAGAGAUGAGCUUUGUAGUUGUGUAGCCUG